rnacentral:rRNA from 1 species
UACGGAGGGUGCAAGCGUUAUCCGGAUUCACUGGGUUUAAAGGGUGCGUAGGUGGGAAUGUAAGUCAGUGGUGAAAUCUCCGUGCUUAACAUGGAACUGCCAUUGAUACUAUGUUUCUUGAAUUUUCUGGAGGUAAGCGGAAUAUGUCAUGUAGCGGUGAAAUGCUUAGAUAUGCAACAGAACACCAAUUGCGAAGGCAGGUAACUAAGCCAUAACUGACGCUGAGGCACGAAAAGCGUGGGGAGCAAACAGG